ACGAACGCUGGCGGCAUGCCUAACACAUGCCGGUCGAACGCGACCUUCGGGUCUAGUGGCGCACGGGUGCGUAACGCGUGGGAACCUGCCCUUAGGUUCGGAAUAACUCCCCGAAAGGGGUGCUAAUACCGGAUAAUGUCUUCGGACCAAAGAUUUAUCGCCUUUGGAUGGGCCCGCGUUGGAUUAGCUAGUUGGUAGGGUAAAAGCCUACCAAGGCGACGAUCCAUAGCUGGUCUGAGAGGAUGAUCAGCCACACUGGGACUGAGACACGGCCCAGACUCCUACGGGAGGCAGCAGUGGGGAAUAUUGGACAAUGGGCGAAAGCCUGAUCCAGCAAUGCCGCGUGAGUGAUGAAGGCCUUAGGGUUGUAAAGCUCUUUUACCCGGGAUGAUAAUGACAGUACCGGGAGAAUAAGCUCCGGCUAACUCCGUG
rnacentral:rRNA from 1 species